rnacentral:rRNA from 1 species
UACGGGGGGGGCAAGCGUUGUUCGGAAUUACUGGGCGUAAAGGGCUCGUAGGCGGCCAACUAAGUCAGACGUGAAAUCCCUCGGCUUAACCGGGGAACUGCGUCUGAUACUGGAUGGCUUGAGUUCGGGAGAGGGAUGCGGAAUUCCAGGUGUAGCGGUGAAAUGCGUAGAUAUCUGGAGGAACACCGGUGGCGAAGGCGGCAUCCUGGACCGACACUGACGCUGAGGAGCGAAAGCCAGGGGAGCAAACCGG